GAUGAACGCUGGCGGCGUGCCUAAUACAUGCCAGUCGAGCGAACAGACGAGGAGCUUGCUCCUCUGACGUUAGCGGCGGACGGGUGAGUAACACGUGGAUAACCUACCUAUAAGACUGGGAUAACUUCGGGAAACCGGCGCUAAUACCGGAUAAUAUAUUGAACCGCAUGGUUCAAUAGUGAAAGACGGUUUUGCUGUCACUUAUAGAUGGAUCCGCGCCGCAUUAGCUAGUUGGUAAGGUAACGGCUUACCAAGGCAACGAUGCGUAGCCGACCUGAGAGGGUGAUCGGCCACACUGGAACUGAGACACGGUCCAGACUCCUACGGGAGGCAGCAGUAGGGAAUCUUCCGCAAUGGGCGAAAGCCUGACGGAGCAACGCCGCGUGAGUGAUGAAGGUCUUCGGAUCGUAAAACUCUGUUAUUAGGGAAGAACAAAUGUGUAAGUAACUAUGCACGUCUUGACGGUACCUAAUCAGAAAGCCACGGCUAACUACGUG
rnacentral:rRNA from 1 species